rnacentral:rRNA from 1 species
GACGAACGCUGGCGGCGCGCCUAACACAUGCCAGUCGAACGAGCGAGAGAGAGCUUGCUUUCUCGAGCGAGUGGCGAACGGGUGAGUAACGCGUGAGGAACCUGCCUCAAAGAGGGGGACAACAGUUGGAAACGACGGCUAAUACCGCAUAAGCCCACGACCCGCCAUCGGGUAGAGGGAAAAGGAGCAAUCCGCUUUGAGAUGGCCUCGCGUCCGAUUAGCUAGUUGGUGAGGUAACGGCCCACCAAGGCGACGAUCGGUAGCCGGACUGAGAGGUUGAACGGCCACAUUGGGACUGAGACACGGCCCAGACUCCUACGGGAGGCAGCAGUGGGGAAUAUUGCACAAUGGGGGAAACCCUGAUGCAGCGACGCCGCGUGGAGGAAGAAGGUCUUCGGAUUGUAAACUCCUGUUGUUGAGGAAGAUAAUGACGGUACUCAACAAGGAAGUGACGGCUAACUACGUG